UGGGGAAUAUUGCACAAUGGGGGAAACCCUGAUGCAGCGACGCCGCGUGAAGGAAGAAGGCUUUCGGGUUGUAAACUUCUUUUCUCAGGGACGAACAGAUGACGGUACCUGAUGAAUAAGCCACGGCUAACUACGUGCC
rnacentral:rRNA from 1 species